rnacentral:rRNA from 1 species
CAAAAAGACCGCGAAACCGUUGGGAGGGAAACGAAUGCGGCUGAAGUGGCUCCCCGUCAGGCUCAGGAGACGUCGGAGGGUCCGGCGGCUGCGCGGUUGCUUCCGCGCCGGCCUGUCGUGCGCCCGCCGAUCGAUCUGCACUUCUGCGGGGAGCCGGCCAACGGCAGUCGCUCCCGGCCCUGGAGGACGUCGUGGGGAGGUGGCUCCGCGUUCGCGUGGGGAACUUACAGCCCGACGCCUGGCGUUCCGGGACGCGACUGAGGAGAGCUUGCGAGAUUUUUUUCGCACGAGCAGCGCAGGCCGCCGCCUCCGGGCGGGGGCUGGGCCGCUUCCGCCGGACAGGCGGCCGCGGUGGUCACUGCUUGCAGUGGCCCGCCGACGGCUCUGGCAGGUCCGGGGGGAGGCCGGUCGCACCUUGCGCUGCGGUCGUUGGUGCCCGAAUGGCCGCAUCCNA